rnacentral:SRP_RNA from 1 species
GCCGGGCGUGGUGGCGGGUGCCUGUAGUCCCAGCUACUCGGAAGGCUGAGGCAGGAGAAUGGCGUGAACCCGGGAGGCGCAGCUUGCAGUGAGCCCAGAUCGCGCCACUGCACUCCAGCCUGGGCGACAGAGCNNNNNNNNNNGCUCUGUCGCCCAGGCUGGAGUGCAGUGGCGCGAUCUGGGCUCACUGCAAGCUGCGCCUCCCGGGUUCACGCCAUUCUCCUGCCUCAG